CAGAGAAGUCAACAGCUGAAGUCAAAUGACGACAACGUGCAAAUCUGCUAUUUUAGAAUCACUGCCCGGUUCACUUUGUUUCUACCUCAUUCAUUAGGCUAUUUCCGAGUUACCUUGUGCCUCUGUACUGUUACGCGGAGUCUUCGUGUGAAAACAAAUGAAAAUGUGUUCCACCUACAAGUUAAUUUUCAUGCGAAUGAAAUCAUUUUUUGUACGAAGACUCGUUUUGAAACAGAGGCACAAGGUAACUCGGAAAUGACCUAUUUCGCUUAUGAAUUCCUCAAUAAAGCAAACAAACGGUCAGUGGCCAUCUUUGCUCUGCUCUCCACCAGUUUGUACCAAAGCACGCUUAGAUUUCCUUUUGUAUCAAAAAAGGCUCGCUAUGGCAUCCAAUAAAACCCCCAAAUUGUGGUCAUUUAUCCAAAAGUAAUUCAUGUAUCCCUUACGCCCGCAAUCUCGUUCCCAGAGUCUUCGUUCCCCUUGAGCAACCAUUUUGAAAUAACCGAAUUCUGCCCAUCCGGUUUCACUGCGCAGUCUGCAUCUAUGUGCAUUUGAAAUAGUUGCUACCCUCCGCUCCCAGAGCUCUUCGUUUUCCGACCGCUGGUCAAGGGGAACGAAGACUCUGGAGGUUGUUGUGCCUUUCUAGUUCCGCUGGACAAAGGUAACGAAGGCUCUAGGAAGAAAGGCAAAAAGCGAUCAGACAAUCAGACAUCGAUCGCCGCCAUUUUGUAAAUUACAUGGUCAGAGCGAACUCAGUAUUAUAGCUAGGUACUGUUAAAAUGCAAGUUGGACACAACAUUCCGUAUGCAGAGUUUGUACAAAUUAGUCCUGCAUACAUUUGUAAAUCCUGUGGUUAUGUACUGCGAGAUGCUAUGCAGACUCCCUGUGGCCAUCACUAUUGCGAACCAUGUAUCAACAGGAUUUUUGAACAUGCACCGCAUUUAAAUCCUCUUUGUUUAUAUGAGCACUGCAAUACAGCUUUGGAACAGCAGUUGUGCUUUGCUGACCUGCACUUUAGAAGGGAGAUACUAGCCAUCGUAACUUCCUGUUUCUAUAGAGAUGCAGGCUGUGACUGGAAAGAAGAACUCAGAUUUGCAGAAGUAUGUUAACUCACUGAUUGACCUGAUCAAUAGUGUCAUAUUUUUGUCAUAGUUUUGUAGUUAAUUUGAUUGUUUUAACUGUAUAAUCUAUUGAAUGCUCAGGUCAGUGAUCUACACUCCAUGUACAUGUAUAUGUACCAGAUAUACUGUACGCAUGUCUAAUUUUAAUAAUUAUAUAUUUUCAUGGUAAAAAUAGAUCCACAAUGAUAUUAAUACAUACAUUCGUUUGCACAGUGUGGCAACUGAAGGGAAGGGGGAUCGUUUUGUUGGAAACAGGCCAGGUAUUUUUUUUGGAGAAGACACUUUUUUUACAUUUGUUUGUUUUUUUUUGUUGGUUAGUUCUGGGCAAAUUUUGUGAAAAUCUGCCAUUUGUACAUACCGUAUUGGUUUAUUUAGAGAUAGUAUUCCUUCAUGUGCACUUAUCAGAAGUGAUCUCUCAGUGUGUAUGUUGCAAAACAAAUUAUACGGUUCUUGCAUAGUGAUCAAGGGCUUAU
rnacentral:lncRNA from 1 species